UACAGAUUCAUAAAAAGAUCUAAAAACAAAAGAUCAACAAUACAGACGUGAAGAGGAAAAGAAGACGCUCUUUGUUUUUGUGGUCCAACCGGUUCAUGUCUGAGGACAUAUUCAUUCCAGACACACACAUGCUCACACACACAUCUCUGUACAUUUCCUGGUGGAACAGUUAGACGUGGUUACAAUGCUUUGUCUCAGCGUUACGUUUCAAACGUUGGUGCUGCGAUAACAAUCAGCUCAGAGUAAUUUAAUGCUGAUCAGACGAAAGCACGAGGAGUUGAAGUUGAGAAAACAUGAAAAAACAUUCUGCAAGGAGAAACGAGUUAAAGGCUUCAUUAACUGGAGUUCAGUUUAAUGAUGAACAAAGUCAUGCUGGUGCGAGAGUCCAAGGGUCAUUUAAAGGAAAACACACAGGAAGCAGAAGCUCUGAGACCACCACUUUGGUUUCAUUAUGAACAAUAAGUGAAUGCUGUUCUGUUCUAACCCUGCAUCUCUUUGCUUUUCGUGCUGAUUCACCACAGGGUCUAGAAUAAUUUGGAUUUAAUUCUGUGCUCUGAAUGUAAACAGGGCACUUUUAAAGAAGCUCAAAGUGAGUCUGUGCAGAUGCCCAGGUGAUCGGAGGAGGGAGCAGAGGAGGAGGAGGAGGAAGAGGAGGAGUAUAAAAAGCUGCUGCUCUCUUUCAGUCGAGUUUAAAUACACUUAAGUUUCACCUGAUCAGAGCUUCCAUCAACCUGCGGAUUACCGACAUGCUGCAGCGGUCAACUGUGUUGCUGCUCUUUGCGCUUGUUGCUGUUUCACUUGCAGCUCCAGUCCAGAAGAGAAUUCUGCCUCUGUUGGAGCACCUGAAUGGUGGCAGGACAAGUGAACCUGUCACAACAGAGCCAGAUGUUCAUGAAAGUGAAGAGCAAACUGAAGCUCCUUCAGUUGAUGCCACUGGGUCACCAGAUGUCAGCGAUGAAGGUGUUGCCAUGACUGACAGCGAUGAAGCUCCUUCAGUUGAUGCCACUGAGCCACCAGGUGGUUCAGACAUCAGCGAUGAAGCUGAUGUUACAGCUGACAGCAAUGAAGGUGACGUUAAAGAUUCUCCUGAAGAAACUGAAGAGACUGCAGAGUCUGUGCCCGAAAACAGCGCCGACACCAGCACGGAGUCUGAGCCAGCACCUAAUGGUGACAAAGAAGAUGGGGGGGAGGCAUUGAGUGAUGAAGAGCAGGAAGUGAAGGAGAAGGGAGAUGAAACGAGUGAAAAAGAUACCAGUGAGGAGGAGGAGGGGGGGGAGGUGGUGCCUAUCAUAGAAGAGGACAGCAAAGAGGAAACUCCAGCUGAAGAAGACAGCCAAAUGAAUAACAGUGAGAUUGAAGACAUGGUGGAGAUAGAGGAGAAAGAGGCUGAGGAGGAAGAAACAGAAGAGGAGAAUGAGGAGGAGUUCAAAGAAGUGGAGGAGGAGAAGGAGGAAAAAGAGAACGAUAAUCAGGAUGAGCUAGGGGAGGAUAAGCAGGAUGAGCUAGGGGAGGAGAAAGAGGAGGAGGAUGAGCUAGAGGAGGAUAAGGAGGAGGACGAGCCAGAGGAGGAGGAGCUAGAGAAGGAAAAUGAAGAGAAAGAGCAAGAUGGGGAUAAAGAGGAGGAUGAGGCAGAAGAGGAGAAGGAAGAGUUAGAUAAUGAAAAGGAAGAGAAAGAGGAAGAUACGGAUGAGAAGGAGGAGCAGCGGGAGGAACUGGAGGAAGGAAAUGAGGAGGAGCAAGAGAUAAAGGAGGAGGAAGAGGAGGAGGAGGAUUUCAAGGAUGAAUCUGAAAAUGCAGAUACUGAAGAACCUGAUGAAAUUGAUGAUGGUCUGGACUCCACUGAAGCAACACCUGCUGGUGAACUGGACCAAUCAGAUGAUGCCACCCCCGUCACCAAACAGGCUACCAGUUAGAUGCUUCGCCUCUGAGCUGUGGGAGCUCAGCAACUGCAGAGCCAAGCCCACAGCCUCCACAGUGGAAUCCAGCUGCCAUGACUUCAACAACCUAAACUGCAUGAAUUUCAACGUUCAGCCAACUGUUGUUUCCUCUCCCCAUUUUCUAGCAGUGUCUGUUUUAACCUCUGGCUUCUUUGGUUUUCUCAGAUUAAAAAAGGAAAUGUCUUUCACCUGCUGACUGUCUUCUUUUCUGCCAUGUGUCUCUCUUUCCAGCUUCUUGUCUGCAGAAAUAUUAAAUCAGCUGCUGAGCUCAGAUCUGUUUUGUGUGUCUGAUUUCACACAUUAACAUGUACAUAAGUCCCUCUUUAAUUUACAGAGAAUGUUUUUAAGGACGUGAAAAACCAGUCAGUGGUGUAUACAGAGGAACUGCUAAUAAAGUUUGAAUUGUCGAAA
ensembl:lncRNA